GCUGCAUGGUCUACGUGGAAACUACUCCUUGGUCUUAGUGUGAAAGCUGCCAAAGAGCCAGUAGUGGAAUAGACACCAUUACGGUCAUCGUCGCCAUUGGCCAAUCAACAGGUGCAUUGAUGCAUAAAGGAUCUAAUGUCGUCUUCCGUGUGGAUGGAAGCCGAGACUCGCCCGGGGCUUCCCAUACUCACAGGUGCGUUCGUCCUUAUGUCAUAAGAUGCCGAAACUUAAGAGCACGUUAAGAUUUGCCCUCCAAGGACGAGAGGGAGCUAAGUCCCCCCUCCCACGCCCCAGGUAAGGCCUCCCCUGCUCACGAUGGGGUGUGGGGAGAUAGGGCGGACCUAAAGCUGGAGGGAGAUGGAAAGGUUGAAUGAGGAAUGGGGUUUUAGUGACUUGCACAUAAACCUUGAUGGGCUAAACUAAGGAUAUCCAGAACCGUUGUCUCAGAUGCAGUAGGCGUUACGCAUUAAUUAAAUCGAAUAUCUGCUCAUUCAGGUUUAUUUAUGUUUCAUAGUAGCCCCAAGUCCCCCAGGAAACAUGACUAUUCAAAGAAAGGUUCUAGGGGUGGUGACAUCGUAGGGGCAGCGUCCCAUGUUGAGUUGUGAGGCCACCGCGAAGAGGGUCAGGACUGGAAAGGCUGGGGACAGGUCCCCCACCCUGACUCUGCCUCCCGCCCACGUGCGGGGCAGGCAGGCCUUUAUAGGGGUCUCGGGGUUUAGAAACAAGGAGGCUAGAAACUCGUGAAAUCUGCCACCAAAAUUAAAGAACAAAGCAGGGGUCCGCCAGUUUUCAGGCCUGAUAACCACAUUGGGAAAUUAUGAGGGGACAACACGCAUUGAAGUGUUGUUAAAUUUUAAAC